UGCAGUCGAACGAUGAAGCCAGCUUGCUGGUGGAUUAGUGGCGAACGGGUGAGUAACACGUGAGUAACCUGCCCUUAACUCUGGGAUAAGCCUGGGAAACUGGGUCUAAUACCGGAUAUGACUCCUCAUCGCAUGGUGGGGGGUGGAAAGCUUUAUUGUGGUUUUGGAUGGACUCGCGGCCUAUCAGCUUGUUGGUGAGGUAAUGGCUCACCAAGGCGACGACGGGUAGCCGGCCUGAGAGGGUGACCGGCCACACUGGGACUGAGACACGGCCCAGACUCCUACGGGAGGCAGCAGUGGGGAAUAUUGCACAAUGGGCGGAAGCCUGAUGCAGCGACGCCGCGUGAGGGAUGACGGCCUUCGGGUUGUAAACCUCUUUCAGUAGGGAAGAAGCGAAAGUGACGGUACCUGCAGAAGAAGCGCCGGCUAACUACGUGCCAGCAGCCGCGGUAAUACGUAGGGCGCAAGCGUUAUCCGGAAUUAUUGGGCGUAAAGAGCUCGUAGGCGGUUUGUCGCGUCUGCCGUGAAAGUCCGGGGCUCAACUCCGGAUCUGCGGUGGGUACGGGCAGACUAGAGUGAUGUAGGGGAGACUGGAAUUCCUGGUGUAGCGGUGAAAUGCGCAGAUAUCAGGAGGAACACCGAUGGCGAAGGCAGGUCUCUGGGCAUUAACUGACGCUGAGGAGCGAAAGCAUGGGGAGCGAACAGGAUUAGAUACCCUGGUAGUCCAUGCCGUAAACGUUGGGCACUAGGUGUGGGGGACAUUCCACGUUUUCCGCGCCGUAGCUAACGCAUUAAGUGCCCCGCCUGGGGAGUACGGCCGCAAGGCUAAAACUCAAAGGAAUUGACGGGG
rnacentral:rRNA from 1 species